CCCUCCCUCGUCCGCCCCGAGCCACACGCACACCCAAUCCCCUCCCCUCCAACCCUAGCCGCCCCGCUCCCCUCCCUCUCCACGGCGCCGCCGCCGCCUCCUCCCCUUCUGCCCUGCUCUCCACCGUGCCGCCUCUUCCUCCUCUUCACUGCCCUCUCCAGCGGCGGCAAAGAACGGCGGCGCUCGAUCCGAUCUGCUGAAGAGAAAAGAUGAGAGAGGGAGAGAGACAAGGAAGGAGAGGAGGGAGAAAGAUAGAGGAAAGAGGAGAGCGAGGUGUGACGGCGGAUGAGAGAGGGUGACCGGAAGGAGCGUGACGACCUGCAGACAAAGGGCGGUGGCGGCGCCGCUCGAUUUGAUCUGCGGGAUAGAGAAGAUGAGAGGGAGAGAGAGAAGGAAGAACAUGAGAGGAGGGAGAAAGAGAGAGGAAAGAGGAGAGGGGGUCGACGGCCAACAGGAGAGGACCACCGGAAGGAGUGCCGCCGGCUCGUCGUCUUCCACCGCCGGCGUCGGCCUGCACCGGCGAGGUCGGGCGGGACCUUGCUUCCAGGGCGGCUUGACCACAGUCUACAGAACAGUAAAAAUGGAGGAUUUGGGGGCUGCUCAGUUUUGGAGUAGCAAACCAUGGAGGAUAUGGGGCUGCACGUGCUUGGAGCAGCAAGCCAUGGCAAAGAAGGUGAAUAAGCAACACAUACAUUACUGCCAGGGGUGGCUGUUUGUUUACUGAAGGGGGUGUUGAUCUGCUGCCCCUUGUUCUACACUCUGUCCAAGAUAGGGAGGCAGAAGAGAGGACAUGUUGAAGAAUCAAGGGGGACAACCACUAUUCAGUUUUUCUUUGUUAUUGCAUUACAGGAUUGUAGGGUGUUUAGAUUUUAAAUGCUGGCAUUGAUCGAGCUGUUAACUGGUUUUUAGUUCUGAUUAGAUGCGAAUCAUGUUUUAAUUAUGAUGAGAUGCAGAAAUUGUUGAGACAGGGCAUGAAUGGUAUAUAUUUUAGCCGUGCUUUUAUUCCCUUUUGCCCUUUCCAAAGGGACUACUCUACUUUUGUUGACCAUUAGUAUAUAUUUUUCAGAUCCAGAUCCAUUUAUCUAAUGAGAGGUGUAUCAGAGAAAUAAAAAAUAUAUUGAACUACAGUUCGUGACUUUAUGCGAAGAAUUCUAAGGGAGCAAGUCAUUUUACUGGGGCUAAUAAACCCAUACCCCGCAUCUCGUCUGCCCCGGGUGCGGAGGCGAGCUUCCCGGCGAUGGCGGCAGCGCUGGAUUCGAUCUGCAGGAGAGACAGGGAGGUGCGGCUUCAAAUGGGAGAGGGUCUUGAGACAGCUUCACAAGUAUUUAUGAUGAUCGUUUGCAUGGGCCUGCAGAUCAGCUGGGAGGAGCAGUGGCAAGCAGCAGCAGCGGUGGCAAGUAGAGGCAGUGGGCAGCAGAAGCCCAUACGCAUCUGCUAGGCUGCGUGAACUGUAGAUCGAUUGAGUGCCCGACCAGGAUUUAACUUGGCUGCUAUAAGAUGGAGGGGUCCUCAGCCGGAAUCUCCAUCAAUUUGCGUCCUUGGGCCAUAAUCUCCAUCAAAUUCCGUCGAAAUUUGCACGAAGCGUCCAAUGUCGCCACAGAGUUUGCCGGAGGAACAAGAACAUUGGUCCGUCCAGUGUCGCCUGCAGCGGCUACACCAAAGUUGCUAUGUCUGACGAUCACACCAAAUCAGACGCUGCACUUGAACACUAUAAACAACAGAUCAGAUUUGUUGUUGUCCGGAUAAAUGUUCAGUCAUUCCCUGUUGGAACAAUCAAAUCUUGAUGUCGGUUCCCAAUUGAGUUUCCUUCUAUUUACGAACUUAGGGCCACAUGAACAAGGAUCAUGCGGACGCUACAAAACUCAUCGUGCAACACUCAACCUCUGUUAAGGCAAGUACAAUAUAGAGCUUACUUACGUGGUAUCUGGUCAUGAAUGCGACUCUGCAAGAUAUACUAGAAAACAAGUUGUAGCUAUAUUAGUUUGUGAAACAGUUAUACUAUUUAUCUUCUGUUGAUUCCAUACUUAAGUUUCUUUUUGUAACCAAAUAACUGUAGUAUUUUAGUUAUUGGAUUGUGUGUGCUCGGUCACAAUGAUAUAUUUAGUUGAAGAUAGGAAUGUUUUAGUUCAAGCAUAUGAUAACUUGAGUGCAGCAGUAGAUAAACAUUCACUUACAAAUUCUACUCCAAAUGGACAGUAAUAGUAGUACGUGGGCAGUGUAAAAUGUGUUUUUGUUAGUUCAGUGAAAAUUAGAGAUCAACCUGAUGGUACUUCAUUUUUAUUCUAAUAUGCCAAAUGCUAUUAAGGAAAUGAAGUUUCUUCCUCGAUCAAGUUAUCAGUCCUUGGUUCACUCUUGCCCUUUGCGCUUGAUGAGACGGGUGAGGAGGAGGAGGAGGAGAGUGUGGGGGCAUCUGGAGAGGAGCGAGGGGUGAGAAGAUGAGAGGGAGAGAGAUAAGAGGAGGGACGUGAAGGGGAGAAGAGGGGUGUGGCAGGGCCGGACCUCCUGCCCGGACAAGGCACGCGGCGGAUGCGCGACGUCAUUUCUUUGGGACAUGCUGGGCUUGCUUUCAUCCUAUAUGCGCAAGAUAGAAAAAACAUCAAGUGGAGAUAUGGGGAAAAUCUGGGCUUAAGAAUGGUUGAGUUGUGGAUAUUUUGCUCAAAGCAUUCUGGAGUCAGAGGAAUUAGCUCCAUACACCUUGUCAAUGGUGUUGCUGAACAGGAUACCACAUAAGUUGGGCUGGAUGAUGAAAAUUCUGCUCAAAUAAGAUCUAAGCGCAAGAGUAAAGACAAAUUCAUGAACCUCACACCCAUGAGCUCAGGUUUGUCCAACCUAAACAAAGCACAGACAACAGAGCUCGUUACCUCAACAUGUGAUGUUAGAGGCACGGAAAAUCAACAAGUUCAAUGCACAAAUAUGGUUGUUGAUCAGCCUACAUGGGCUGGGAAUCUUGUGAGCAAUUCUGGUGAUGUUUCUACAUUUCUUAGAAAGCUAAUUGACCAAGGAAAAGUUAGUGUUGGUGAUAUACAAUCAGAACUGAGUCUCUCAUCUGAAUCGUUGGAAGCUGCUCUUGAGAAAAUUGGGGGCAAAUCAUGGCUGGAGCAUAUGUGAACUUGGCCUCCGGUCAUUUAUUCAGGAGAGGGAGCUACAACGGCAGGAGAAGAAUGCAACGAGGUGCGGUCUUCUGUUCGAUGCCAAGGGCCUAUCCGGCAGCGAUUUCCUCUGUACAUUUAGAAGUCACAAUAGAGAAGGUUCGUAGCCUUGGCUCCAAAGCUUCAAGCUCUUAUAGAAAUUAGAACUGAGGGCCUUUUAAAAUGAGUCCUGCAUAAUAUUGUUGUUCAGUGGGAUGCAGGAUUUUUAUUUGUCUGAUCGGCUAUCCUUGGUGCUGAUUUACGUACCGAUUUCAUCAUCAUAUGACUACAAUAAAGAAGUUGUGUGUAUAAAUAUUUCUAACUGCUGAUACUUUCAAUCAGUGAUUUCAAUUCUGUUGGCCUCCUUAAGAUUGCUUGGGAAUGUGAGGCUUAAAUUUUU